UGGACGUGGGAAAAGACCUUCACUGGCCACGUGGCCUUUCCCAGACCUCUCCUCUCGAAUGCCACAAAACUGGUCCAGCCCUGGCAGAGCCGCCUUCGGCCCUUGCAGCUCCUGCUGGCCCCACAACAGGGAAGCAGUUUGCAAAGUGGCUCGGAAGGAGUGUGGCCUAGGGAUCUGCUAUAAGUGGCCGGACGUAGCAGGAGCGCCCAGUGUCACCUUCUGGUCCUGGUCAGCCUUAACACUGUGGCAUCCUCCACAGCACACACGGCGACGUGCAGUCUGGAAGGCGGACCCGAGCCUUUGCAGAGAGGCGCCACAGAGCCGCAGGCCUGCACAGCAGCCCCAGCCUUCUGCUUCUGACUGUGAGGACACCCAGUUCUAGUAGAGCACUUUUUUUAAAGCUCUCAUUUUGUAACCACUAGUUUGCAGUUGAUCUGAGUACUCUGGUGACUUGCUGCGUGAAGUGUUCUCCAGCUGUGAGAAUAUGUGCAGCUCCAGGCAGGUUUCCCCUGAAGGCAGGGAAGCAGGAUGGAUACACGUAUAUCACACACAUCAAACGGCAGGCGCGGGAGCAGCCCAGACUCAAGGCUGACUAAACUGGAGGCUGAAUACCGUGGAGGUCCACAUGCAGCUUCCCUGGAGGGCAGUCCGGAGGCGCUCCCGCCCCUGGGCUUGAGGAUGCCGCACCCCGUGGGCUUCCAGGCCUGCCCACAUGAUGCCUUCAGGCCUUUGCCCCUGGCGGCCAUCCUCAGGCCGAUUUUGACCAGCAGUGAUAGACUCUUCUUAACCCUUUCAAAAUAAAUUUUUCAGUGGGACAGGAAGGAGAGUUAAAAAACAUUUUUUUAAAGGUAGUAACAUCUGACCCACAAAGGGAAUGGGUCUGUUUUAUGCGAAAUAAAAGUUUUUCAAAUAAA